UACGGAGGGGGCGAGCGUUAUUCGGAAUUAUUGGGCGUAAAGGGCGCGUAGGCGGCUAGAUGUGUCAAAGGUGAAAUCCCUCGGCUCAACUGAGAAACUGCCUUUGAAACUGUCUGGCUUGAGGCCGGGAGAGGGUAGCGGAAUUCCCAGUGUAGCGGUGAAAUGCGUAGAUAUCGUGAGGAACACCAGAGGCGAAGGCGGCUACCUGGACAAUUGCUGACGCUCAGGCACGAAAGCGUGGGGAGCAAAAGGG
rnacentral:rRNA from 1 species